AUAGUGCUAUAUGACUUUCAAUGUAUUAGGUUUAUCCAACUCGUUGAAUAGUUUAAUGGUAUAUUUCUCGGUAUUCUAGGCUCGGCCUUACAAUAUAACAAACAAGUUUGACCUCAAAUCAGGUAGGACUACCCGCUGAACUUAAGCAUAUCAAUAAGCGGAGGAAAAGAAACCAACAGGGAUUGCCUUAGUAACGGCGAGUGAAGCGGCAAAAGCUCAAAUUUGAAAUCUGGCGCCUUCGGUGUCCGAGUUGUAAUUUGAAGAAGGUAACUUUGGAGUUGGCUCUUGUCUAUGUUCCUUGGAACAGGACGUCACAGAGGGUGAGAAUCCCGUGCGAUGAGAUGCCCAAUUCUAUGUAAAGUGCUUUCGAAGAGUCGAGUUGUUUGGGAAUGCAGCUCUAAGUGGGUGGUAAAUUCCAUCUAAAGCUAAAUAUUGGCGAGAGACCGAUAGCGAACAAGUACAGUGAUGGAAAGAUGAAAAGAACUUUGAAAAGAGAGUGAAAAAGUACGUGAAAUUGUUGAAAGGGAAGGGCUUGAGAUCAGACUUGGUAUUUUGCGAUCCUUUCCUUCUUGGUUGGGUUCUCCGCAGCUUACUGGGCCAGCAUCGGUUUGGAUGGUAGGAUAAUGAUUAAGGAAUGUGGCUCUACUUCGGUGGAGUGUUAUAGCCUUGGUUGAUACUGCCUGUCUAGACCGAGGACUGCGUCUUGA
rnacentral:rRNA from 1 species